UUUUGUUACUCUUAACAACUGACAUUUUUCUGGGUGGAAAGACAUGCUCCAAUUUGAUUCCCAUUUCUGUAAUUCAUCUAAUUCUCUUUGUAAAAUAUAUCUGUGUCUUGUGUUGUUUUUAUUGUUCUAUAUAUUAUGCAAUCGUCUGCAAAUAAUCUGACUUUUGUUCCUGAAGUAAUGCAAUUUGGUAAAUCAUUUAUGUAAAUUAAAAAUAGUAGUGGACCCAAGACUGUUCCUUGAGGUACACCUGAGUUUACUGUUAUCGGUGUUGAUUUAGAGCCAUUUAUUAUUAGGCUACAGUUUGUUCUCUCCAUAUCAGAAAGUCUUUAAUCCACUGAUGCAGUGGACCAUUAAUGCCGAAAUAUUUUAAUUUUUUAAGCAAACUAUGGUGGUGAACUUUGUCAAAAGCCUUAGAAAAAUCUAGUAGGAUAGCAUCUAUUUGUUCACUAUUAUCUAAACCUUUUGAAAAAUCAUCAAUUAGUCCUAUUAGUUGUGUUUCACAUGAUCUAUAUUUCCUAAAGCCAUGUUGGUAUGGUGUGAGGACAUUAUGUUAAUAUUAUAUGUUAAUAUAAUAAUAUAUUAACGCAUCGUUUUUGAGUUAUAAGAUAAAGGAACACAGAACUAGCAUUUUAUGUAACCUACCUUGAAGCUCCAGCUGUAACCAAGGCCUAUGUUUGAAAGAUAUUCUUCUCGUUUUCUUUGACUAUUUCUAGACUCAAAAUAUUAAGUGCAAGUUCUACUUGUCGCAGUUACUUUUUGUUUAGGAGUAUAUUUUUAAAAUGUAGGCCUACACAAUCAAAUAGCGCCGCUUUCUUCUAGAUCUAUAGGCGAAGACCUCAUUCGUGUAGUUUUUUUUUUUUCCCUUUUCGCGUUGUCGUUUUAGAUGUGAUGUCAUAUUUCUUCUUUACGCCAAAUAUAGACAAGCUGUACUUUUAGUGGUCCUAAAUUUUUCCUUUGCUUUACUCAGUACUGGACAGCCUUAGCGAUUGCCUUGGAUGUCUAUUCUUGGUAGGACUCUUUGACCCCUGUUUAGGGGUUUCAGUGUUGGCGUUAUCUAUUUCAUCGUUGAGUCGAUACCGUGGGUGCUGGUAGGUCUUUUACCCUGGACAUUGAGGUCGGCAUCUUUGUGACACUUUGUCACUCUUGUGGUCAGAAGUUAAUGUCAGUGCUUGAAUGCUACUAAGAAUAUGAUGUUAAUAGAUCUACUCUAGACAUUUUAUAAAGUAGUACUAGAUGUCUAGUAGUCAGUAACUGUUUCUGAGACGAAUAUAUCAUUAUUUGGCGUAGGUUAUGAAACUGUGAUGUUGUUGAACUUGAACUUCACUAGUCAAUGUAAAUGUUGUCAAGUGUUUCUACAAAUUAAACGCUUUAUCACUAUUAGAUCUAGUGACUAUUAAAUAAGGUACCGGUAAGUUAAAAGAAGAAUUUGAUUUAGAUUUUAGAUCUACUAUAACUAUAGAGAAAGAUCUAGUCUAGAAUCUAGGACUAGAUCUAUAUAGAUCUAUGUGCAUAACUUUUUGAUUAGCUAAAACCGAGGUAAAAGAUAUGUCAUUAUUAUUUAUAAUCAUAUGGACCCAGAGUCUAGUCUGGAAUCUACUAGCCUAGAUCUAGAGUUAGAGAGUCUAGAUUCUAGAUCCUGAAUCUAGACCUCUACAAUUAGAGUAGUUUAUGCGGUAAUCAUGAAUGUAAGCGGUAUAAAUGUGAGCGUCAAAAAUUAAGGAAGUUUGUAGGCUAACAAUUCCUCUGUUGUAAUUUAGCAGGAGGCUUGCGACGUAGGCUUAUAUGUUUUCUGUUGUUAUUUACCAUGAGGUUUGCGGCGUAGGCUAAUAAGUUUUCUGUUGUGGUUUAGCAGGAGGUUUGCGACAUAGGCUAACCAAUCCUCUGUUGUAAUUUAGCAGGAAGUUUGCGUGAUAGCCAAAUAAGUUUUCUGAUGUUAUUUAGCAUGUGGUAGAAAGGAUUCUGGAAAACAAAUAGAUGUCUAACUCUAAACUAUUGGAUUUCUGCCAGAAUUCAAGCCUUUUUUCUCCUAGACUAUAUCUAGAUGAAACAUCAUUGGCAACUACAUACUAAAUAUAUAGUAGUCAAAUAAUUUUGUUCGAUCUAAAUCUAUAUAUAUGUUUUAGUCUAGGACUAGUAUCUAGGAGUCUUUCUCAUAUAUCAUAUGUUAACAUCUACAGGCCAAACUUUUUAAAAUGAAAAAUAUAUAAUCUAAUUUUGAUUUUUUAAAAAUAUUGCUUCAAAUGAUAUCUGGUACUGAAACGCAUUCAUUUUUCUGUUAAUUUUGAAUCUCUUGUCAUCAGUAGAAGAGAACAAAUCAUUAGAGCAAAUCAUAGGCAUUUUUUAUUUUAUUUUGAUACAACAAUUAUGGUGGCUUAUUCCUAAACAGGCAACAUGAUAGGCCCUACCAUUACUUUUAUUUUUUAGUCAAUGGUCAUCAAACAGCUCAUGUAGCUAUUGGCCACAAAACAGCUCAAUCCAACUAUCUGAUAGAAAAGUUGUGUAUCUAAUGUUUGAGUGGAAUUGGUAUGAACGUCCAUUUCAGUUUGCUAAAGCUCUAAUGUUAUAAUGUAAUGCACACAUUUUAAGAUAAAUUUCAUCAUUUAUAUAAACAUUAUUAUUUUAUUAUUAUUAUUGACAUGAAGUUAAUAUUUUAUUGACAUAAUGUUAUUAUUCGGAAUUUUAAUAUUCAGUAGUAUAAUAUAGUAUACCAAUUAUAUUUAAAAAAAUAAAAAAACAAUAUUAAUUACUGCUAUAUUAGGAAGGUGCCGCUGCCAAGAAACGUAAAUUAUUCAACUUCAAACAAGAAUCUAAAGAAGGAAACAAUGACGCUGGUCCAGCUAAAGUCCCUCGCCUUACUUUGGUUUUACAUGAGCGGGAUUCGACUUUCAAAAAUUGCCAGUCUUCAGUGACUCAUCAGCCUUCAACUUCAAUAAAUUGCCAGUCUCCAGUAAAUCACCAGCCUUCAACUUCAAUAAGUUGCCAGUCUCCAGUGAAUCACCAGCCUUCUACAAAAUCCAAAUGGUGACUACAAAAGACCACAAUAUGGUCAGCUCUACUUUCUGUAUCCCGACGAUGCUGUGAAUGAAAGAAUUCAACAUCCAUACAAUACUGACAUCAACCAAGACUUAGUGAAUAGAUUGGAGAAAAUCAUAUGCGCCGUCAAUUGUUUCACUCAGGCAACUUGCAUCAGCAAAAGGAAUUGCACCUCCACAUGUUCGACUUUUGUUUACUAAUCCUGAUGGUUUUGAUCUCAGGCGCUACAACGCCCCCUCAUCUAAUGAAGUAUGUGCUGUGCUGACACUGAAUGCUGAUCAAAACAUUCCAGCUAAUGAAAUGGUUGUACCUCAGCGAGGCAAAGAAAUAGUUACUUUAAAGAACACAAGACAAACGAACAGAGCCCUUCACAUAUCCAUUAUUUUAUCCUAAAGGCACCUUUGGAUAUUCUGUGGUUCUGAAGCUACAACAGCCUUAUCCCAAUCGGCAGCAUCUAACAAGACUGGAAAUGGCUUAUAGCAAAGGACUCACCAAAAAUCUUCCACUUGAAAAAGAUCACAGCGAUCUUGAUCUACGUGAAACACAAUUCAACGCACUACAUUUUGGUGGCCGACUGUUUCAGCAGUAUCUGGUUGACACAUUUAUUAGAGUGGAAUGCGAUCCAGUAGAUCAAGUCCAACCAAAAAAAAAAUUCUGGCUGAAAAAUACAUUGGAGUGUCUAACUUCCUUAAAGAACUUGCUGAAAAGAAAGAUGCUGUUGUUGGUGAAACCAUCAUUUUACCAUCCUCGUUCCCAGGCUCAACACGAUACUAUGCUGAACAAUUUGAAGACGCCAUGGCUUUAGUUCGACGCUUCGGUUCACCAGACUUCUUUAUAACGAUGACAUGUAAUCCGGAAUAGACUGAAAUAAAAAAAGCUGCCUGCAUUGUUACUGAGGAAAGGUUUGUUAUUCAGCAUAGAGCUCAAGAUUGUCCUGAUCUCAUUGCUAGAGUAGCGAAGCUGAAGUUUGAAACCAUCAUUGAGGAAUUAUAGAAGAAACAAAUAUGUAGGAAAGUAGCAGUCUUUGUUUAUACAAUUGAGUUUCAAAAACAUGUUCUCCCUCACAUCCAUCUUUUAUUAAUUAAGACAAAAUACACAAUCAUGAUGAGCUAAACGAUUUAAUUUCUGCCAAGAUCCCAGACAACACAGAUCCUGAGUUGCGAGAACUGGUUUUGAAAUGGAUGCUCCAUAACCCUUGCAGUGAACAUGACUUAAAUGCAUCGUGCAUGAAAAACAACAAUGGAAAAGUUCAAUGCCGUUUCGAUUUCCUCAAACCUUUCCAAGAAACAACAUCACUGGUUGACGAUGAAAAACCAAAAUUAAGACAUUGGUAUGAUUCCAUAAUGGACCAGCAGAGCCCUGAAUUUGGACAUGAACCAGCUGUCUACCGAAAAGACAAGUCUGGUAAAAGAAUAACCAGACACAACCGCCACGUGGCUCCUUACAAUGCAUACUUGGUGAAACUAUUCAAUUGCCACAUAAAUGUUGAAUUUGUUGGAAGCAUUAGAGCUGUGAAAUAUUUAUAUCUUCUUCUUCUUCUAGCCAGCUUUAUUGCUGCUGAGCUGUGAGCUCUUUUGCAGGCUGUGCCAAGGAAAAAAAGUGUACUGUUUUAUAUAUUUAUAUAAAUACAUUUACAAAGGACAUAACUGCACCUAUAUUACAAUUGUGGAGGAUUGUUUGGCAGAUAAAAGUAAUGAAAAAAUGAAAGAGGGCAAUUCUGGCUCCCUUAAACAAAGAUGUUAAUGUGAUAAAUUAUGAAAUUAUAGACAAAUUACCUGGAGAGGAAAAAGUCUAUUUUAGCUUUGAUUCAAUCAAGGACAUGUCAGAAGGUUACCUUCAAUUUACCACAUAAUUUUAAAACUCUAUUGCCAUCGCUGAUUUGCCUCCACUCAAACUAAAACUAAAAAAAAACACAAUUAUCAUGUUGCUAAGGAACUUGGAUGUUUCAGAAGGACUCUGCAAUGGGACGAGGCUUAUUGUCACUGAACUUUGCAACAACAUAAUUAUUGCCAAGGUUCUAACUGGCGAACAUUUUAGAAAAGGAAGUUCACAUCCAGAGAAUCACUCUAGAUUCCAAUAAGGGGAAACUUGGGUGCACAAUGCAGCGCCAUCAAUUUCCCGUGACCCCUGCUUUCGUCAUGACAGUACACAAAUCCCAAGGUCAAACAUUCCAGUUUGUUGGAGGUGAUCUCAGGGUCCCAGUCUUCAUGCAUGGCAUGCUGUAUGUGGCCUUUUCAAGAGUGAAACUUCAAAUUUGUUUGAAAGUCCUUCUUCCCCGAGACAACGCAACUUACACCCGGAACAUUGUGUGGAAGGAAGUGUUGAACUAAGAUAAAGAAGCCUGUUUGUACCAGAGAGUUGAUGUACUGGAUAGCAAGUGGUAGUGGGAAGCAGAGAUUUGAAGUCAUCAUUAGAAAUUGUUAUGACUAGCACUGUGGCUUUUUAACAAUAUUAGACUAUCUCUAUGAGCAGCGUUCAACUGACUCAGGGAAGAUUUGAUAAUGUACCUAAGGCGUGUUUCACUGCAAGAUCUACAGACCUGUUUGUUUUUGUUUUAUCUCUUUGGAUAUUAUUUACCUUUAUUAUAAAAAUUACAAUGUUUUCAAAUAAUCCGCUCUAGCCCUACAAUUUUUAUCUAGAAGUAGAGUUCUUUUGGUGCUUGUAUCUGUUUACCAGAUAACUGUUUUAUUAUUAGAUAAAAAGAAAAAUAUGUAUUACAUUUCUGCAAUAUUGAUGCAUAGCAACAAAUGGCGAUCAUAAUAGAUCAAAAGUGGCCUAAUAAUAGAGUCAUUUUGUGAAAUGGCUCAAAAUGUAUUUUGUUCAUGAAUCGAUUUUUUUUGUACCAACAUUCUAUAUUGUUUAUCAAUUUAUUUUUGUUCUCUGUGAAACUCUUGGGUAUUGUAAUUUUUGUUUAAUACUGUUGUUAAGUAUCCAAUUUUGUUUCUUAUACCAUUACAUUUAAGUAACAGAGUAUUAUGUAUGGUCAUUAAAUUUAGGUAACCAAGUAUUAUGUAUGGUCAUUACAUUUAAGUAUCCAAGUAGUAUGUAUGGUCAUUACAUUUAGGUAACCAAGUAUUAUGUAUGGUCAUUACAUUUAAGUAUUCAAGUAGUAUGUAUGGUCAUUACAUUUAAGUAUUCAAGUAGUAUGUAUGGUCAUUACAUUUAGGUAACCAAGUAGUAUGUAUGGUCAUUACAUUUAGGUAACCAAGUAGUAUGUAUGGUCAUUACAUUGAGGGGUAAUCAAGAAUUAGCUAUGGUCAUUACAUUGAAGUAACCAAGUAUUAUGUAUUGUCAUUACAUAUAGGUAAAAUGUUUUAUAUAUAUAUGACUAUUACAUGUAUUGCUCAUUAUCUGUUAUUUUUAAUAAUGCGAUGCAUCUCUUUCUGCCAAUAGUUUUCUAUUGGCUUCUUAGCCAUGAAAAUUGUUGUUUAUGAUUUUCAUUUAAAAGGCCUUGACAUGCAUUGACUUAUUUGUAUAAAGUAAUAGGAAUGGAUCAAAAAAACCAUCCAGUAGAUUGCUAGCCGAAGUAAAACAAAGAAAAGCCUUUAAAACAAAAAAAAAAAAAAACCUUCUUUAGCUGAGUAAGUUUAGUUCAUUUUCUAGGCUUAUAUUCACUAUUACUAUUAGGCUAGAUUCUAAACAUUGUGUAAAGUAGUUCUAUUUGGGUAAAUAUCAUUAGGACUUUCACAGGAAAGCUUUUAAUGUCAUUGUACUUUAUAAAUUGAUGACUAUAUAGUUAACACUAUGUCUUGUUAGUGUGUCAGUUUCACAAUGAGAUGAGUUGAAUGUGAGUAAGCAAGUUUCUAUCCAAGUUUAUGUCCUGAAGUGAAAGUAAAAUGGUAGAAAUAAAAGUAUUCUAUUAAUAGUUAUGUUCAACAUAUUCACCGUUGUCCAAUGAAUUAAAGUCACUUAAGCUUAUACAGUACAAUUGCUCUGUUGUUUUUUUUGGUCAUUAUAAUUUAAUAUUAUUCAACAAAUAAUGAUGACCAAAAAGCUUCUUUUGAAUUGAAGUUAGAAAUAUUUCAUUUUACUUUUUAUUGCCAUCAAAAUGUAAUUCCUAAUUUAAAAGAAAAACAUCUUGUAUAACCUUUAAAUCUGUAGCAUCUGCUAAUCUUGCAAUUAUCAAUGCAUGGUCCUGCUCUUCGAUUAUGCACUAAACAUUGUACAUGGAGUAAUUGUUGUCAUUUCCUGUAGCUUUAUACCCAUAAUGCAGUGCAGACACUUCAAAAUCAAAUGUGCCCUUUAUAACACCCAGGUCUCAAAGUCGAAAUUCUGUGAGACCUAAACUAUCUGGUAGAUUUGAAAUUCUGACGUGAGACGAAUCUUAUAUUUACCUAGCGUUUCAUAAAAAAAAUAUUGUCUUUAAAAACCCAAAAUG